CCCCUUGCCUCGCCCGUCCAUCCGUCCCGCGGAAUAAAUGAGGGUCUUAAAUGAACUGGGUCUGUAACCAGAAGUCUGCAGGCUGAGCUUCUCCCAGGACUGGAAGGAGAGAUGGAUAGGAUGAAAAAGAGACUGAGAGCAGGCCGGGCCGGAAGAGAAGGAAAUUGAAGCUGGUGGAAGAGUAUGAACUGAACGUAAUAAAAGGCAGCAACAUUCAGGGUUUUUUUUCCUCUUCUUUUUCUACGAUUAACAUGAGCCCCUAUCUGGAGAGAUUCCUUUUAAAUCGUUCAGCAUGUCACCUGACAGCUAGUGUUGGUUUCUGAACUGAUUGUCAGCCUCAAUAAAGACAGAGGUCUCCCAGGCCAGCUGUCUUGCAUCUCU